rnacentral:tRNA from 1 species
UAUUUUAUAUUCAUUAAAUGAUUUUAAAUUGCAAAUUUAAAGGUGAAUAGAUAUAAUUCUGAAAUAU